rnacentral:tRNA from 1 species
GCAGGUGUGGUGCAAUGGCAACACUUCUGCUUCCCAAGCAGACAACGCGGGUUCGAUUCCCGUCACCUGCUCCA